CGGCCAGCUGGCCGAGCUGGGCGGCUGGCACCUCGACGGUGGUCAGCGUGCACGGGUCGCCACCGUGCGGGCCGAC
rnacentral:tRNA from 1 species